CGGUACGAGACCAGACGCUCACCUGAUCAAAUACACAUACACCACCAGUCAGAAGUCUGCAAGAACUCAGAUGCUUAAUGAGAGAAGUCACCGAAGCAGCAUUUACUUGAUCAAAAUUCAAUCUGUGUUAAAGUGUAAUGUAUUUCUGUGAUGCUCCGCUGUAUUUUCAGCAUCAUUCCUCCAGUCUUCAGAUUCACAUGAUCUUCAGAAAUCUUCAGAAAAUAAUAUGAUGAUUUACUGCUCAAGAAACAUCUCUGAUUAUUAUCGUGUGUCUUUAGGGUCCUCGUGGGCUGCCGGGGGCUCCGGGAUUGAAUGGUAAACCAGGAAAGAGGGUGAGUUUCAUCUAAACACAGCAAACACCAUCAGAUACCUGUGUGAACACCUGAAACACACCUGUGUGUGUGUGUGUGUGUGUGUGUCCAGGGGCGCGGUGGGAUCGACGGAGCCAGAGGUGAACCAGGAGAGACUGGAACUAAAGGUGACCGAGGGUUUGAUGGGUUACCGGGUCUGCCUGGAAACAAGGGUCACCGGGGAGAUCAAGGGAAGAAGGGGCCGGUCGGUCCUCCAGGAGGUCCUGGAGAAAAGGUCCGUGAACAUUUCUUCUCUAUUCUUCAGUGACUUCUGUCAGUCUGUCUGUCUUUGCUCAGGUUCAGAGUGAAUGUGUGUGUGUUUCCCAGGGUUCAGAUGGUCAGCCGGGGCCCAGGGGUCAGCCAGGAGAGCCUGUAUGUGUUCACUCGUACUGUGAAGUAUUGCUCUUCAUCGAUCCUCUGACGUGUGUGUCAGGGACUGAUGUGUGUUAACAGAGAUUCCUCAGUGAUGUGUGUGUGUGUGUGUGUGUGUGUUAGGGUCUAGCAGGGCUGACGGGUCAGAGGGGUCUUCCUGGUCCUCCAGGACAGCAGGUGAGUGGAUAAACUCCUCAUUCUGUGUGUUUGGGUCUCAUUGUGUUCAUAUGAUACGGCUGACUUCCUCAGACUACAGGUCACAAUAAAGCGUCAUAUGGAUCAUGUGUGUGUGUGUGUGUGUGUGUGUGUUUGCCAGGGUAUUCGUGGAGUUGAUGGAGUUCAGGGUUCAAAAGGAAACAUGGGUCCACCUGGAGAACCUGGAGCUCCAGGACAGCAGGGGAACCCAGGAUUCCAGGUACACACACUCACAGAAAUCUCUCACACACACACACACACUCCUGACACACUUUCUUCUGUUCU
rnacentral:lncRNA from 1 species